rnacentral:rRNA from 1 species
AGAGUUUGAUCAUGGCUCAGGACGAACGCUGGCGGCGUGCUUAACACAUGCAAGUCGAACGAGGAUAUAUUGAACGGAGGGCUUCGGUCCAAAGGGAGGUAUAUUCGAGUGGCGGACGGGUGAGUAACGCGUGAGCAACCUGUCCCAGACAGGGGGAUAACACUUGGAAACAGGUGCUAAUACCGCAUAAGACCACGUCCUCACAUGGGGAUGAGGUAAAAGGAGCAAUCCGGUUUGGGGUGGGCUCGCGUCCGAUUAGAUAGUUGGUGAGGUAACGGCCCACCAAGUCGACGAUCGGUAGCCGACCUGAGAGGGUGAUCGGCCACAUUGGAACUGAGAGACGGUCCAAACUCCUACGGGAGGCAGCAGUGGGGAAUAUUGGGCAAUGGGCGAAAAAGCCUGACCCAGCAACGCCGCGUGAGUGAAGAAGGCUUUCGGGUUGUAAAGCUCUGUUAUAGGGGACGAAGGAAGUGACGGUACCCUAUAAGGAAGCCCCGGCUAACUACGUGCCAGCCGCCGC